UACGUAGGGGGCAAGCGUUGUCCGGAAUCAUUGGGCGUAAAGAGCGUGUAGGCGGCCAGGUAGGUCCGCUGUGAAAACUCGAGGCUCAACCUCGAGAUGUCGGCGGAAACCAUCUGGCUAGAGUCCGGAAGAGGAGAGUGGAAUUCCCGGUGUAGCGGUGAAAUGCGCAGAUAUCGGGAAGAACACCCGUGGCGAAGGCGGCUCUCUGGGACGGUACUGACGCUGAGACGCGAAAGCGUGGGGAGCAAACAGG
rnacentral:rRNA from 1 species